GCAUAUCAAUAAGCGGAGGAAAAGAAACCAACAGGGAUUGCCCUAGUAACGGCGAAGUGAAGCGGCAACAGCUCAAAUUUGAAAUCUGGCUUCGGCCCGAGUUGUAAUUUGCAGAGGAUGUUUAUGGUGCGGUACCUACCGAGUUCCCUGGAACGGGACGCCACAGAGGGUGAGAGCCCCGUCUGGUAGGAUACCAAACCUGUGUUAAACUCCUUCAACGAGUCGAGUAGUUUGGGAAUGCUGCUCUAAAUGGGAGGUAAAUCUCUUCUAAAGCUAAAUAUUGGCCAGAGACCGAUAGCGCACAAGUAGAGUGAUCGAAAGAUGAAAAGCACCUUGAAAAGGGGGUUAAACAGUACGUGAAAUUGUUGAAAGGGAAGCGUUUAUGACCAGACUUGUGCCGUGUGGCUCAUCCGAGGUUCUCCCCGGUGCACUCCACACGGCUCAGGCCAACAUCGGUUCUCGUUGGGGGAUAAGAACAGUAGGAACGUGGCCCUCUUCGGAGGGUGUUAUAGCCUAUUGUACGAUACUCUGACGGGGACCGAGGACCGCGCUUCGGCUAGGAUGUUGGCGUAAUGGUCAUUAGCGACCCGUCUUGAAACACGGACCAAGGAGUCGUCCAUUAGAGCGAGCGUUUGGGUGUAAAACCCGCACGCGUAAUGAAAGUAAAAUAGGUGAGAGCUUCGGCGCAUCAUCGACCGAUCCUGAAGUUUACGGAUGGAUUUGAGUAAGAGUUUUAACGGACGGACCCGAAAGACAGUGAACUAUGCUUGAAUAGGGUGAAGCCAGAGGAAACUCUGGUGGAGGCUCGCAGCGGUUCUGACGUGCAAAUCGAUCGUCAAAUUUGAGCAUGGGGGGCGAAAGACUAAUCGAACUGUCUAGUAGCUGGUUACCGCG
rnacentral:rRNA from 1 species